rnacentral:rRNA from 1 species
UACGAAGGGUGCAAGCGUUACUCGGAGUUACUGGGCGUAAAGCGUGCGUAGGUGGUUCGUUAAGUCUGAUGUGAAAGCCCUGGGCUCAACCUGGGAACUGCAUUGGAUACUGGCGAUCUGGAGUGCGGUAGAGGGUGGCGGAAUUCCCGGUGUAGCAGUGAAAUGCGUAGAUAUCGGGAGGAACAUCCGUGGCGAAGGCGGCCACCUGGACCAGCACUGACACUGAGGCACGAAAGCGUGGGGAGCAAACAGG